CAAUAGCGUAUAUUAACGUUGUUGCAGUUAAAAAGCUCGUAGUUGGAUUUCUGGAGGGAGCGUCGGCCCGUAUUUACGAGUGCGUGACGUCUCUGUCCAUCCUUCGGGAAGGCACGGCAUUGAUUUGUUGUGUCGGAUCGCAUCAUUUACUGUGAAAAAAUUAGAGUGUUCAAAGCAGGCUUUCGCUUGAAUACAUUAGCAUGGAAUAAUAAGAUAGGACUUUGGUGCUAUUUUGUUGGUUGAGCCUAAAGUAAUGAUUAAUAGGGAUAGUUGGGGGCACCUGUAUUGCGUUGUCAGAGGUGAAAUUCUUGGAUUUACGCAAGACAAACAGCUGCGAAAGCGUCUGCCAAGGAUGUUUNCAUUAA
rnacentral:rRNA from 1 species